rnacentral:rRNA from 1 species
AGUGGCGGACGGGUGAGUAACGCGUGGGCAACCUGCCCCAUACAGGGGGAUAACAGCCGGAAACGGCUGCUAAUACCGCAUAAGCGCACGGGACCGCAUGGUUCUGUGUGAAAAGCCGAGGCGGUAUGGGAGGGGCCCGCGUCUGAUUAGCUUGUUGGCGGGGCAGCGGCCCACCAAGGCGACGAUCAGUAGCCGGCCUGAGAGGGCGGCCGGCCACAUUGGGACUGAGACACGGCCCAAACUCCUACGGGAGGCAGCAGUGGGGAAUAUUGCACAAUGGGGGGAACCCUGAUGCAGCGACGCCGCGUGAGCGAAGAAGUAUUUCGGUAUGUAAAGCUCUAUCAGCAGGGAAGAAGAAAAUGACGGUACCUGACUAAGAAGCACCGGCUAAAUACGUGCCAGCAGCCGCGGUAAUACGUAUGGUGCAAGCGUUAUCCGGAUUUACUGGGUGUAAAGGGAGCGCAGGCGGCGCGCUAAGUCUGAUGUGAAAGCCCGGGGCUCAACCGCGGGACUGCAUUGGAAACUGGCGCGCUGGAGUGCCGGAGAGGUAAGCGGAAUUCCUAGUGUAGCGGUGAAAUGCGUAGAUAUUAGGAGGAACACCAGUGGCGAAGGCGGCUUACUGGACGGUGAUUGACGCUGANGCUCGAAAGCGUGGGGAGCAAACAGGAUAGAUACCCUGGUA